UCGAGGCGACUCGUAAGAAUUGAUGUCUGUUGCCAUCGUCGAAAAGGAUUUGACGGCAAAAUUGAGAGUGGUGGCGACAAACCUUGAGCGUGGUAAAUCAAGGGUGAUCGAUAAGAGACGGUAACCGUAGAUUGAUGGAACUGGAGGCCGAACAGAGGAAGGAAACUCAUGUCCGACGGUGAUUAACGUUUAGGAAAGUCGCCGACAAUGUGUCGGGUGUGUGGGAGGAAGACGAACGAGUGGUAUCCAACAGCGGAU
rnacentral:lncRNA from 1 species